UUUCAGGGAAGAAUCAACAUCAAGAAAAAGAGAAUGAACUCUUGAACAUAAACUAUGAUAAGCUUGAGUGUCUUCUGUAUGACCCAUGAACAGCAAUGGAAAUCAAAGGAACAGCAAAUGAAACUGCAAAUUGCUAAACUAGAGAUGGCUAUCAAAUCUGAUUUAGCAGACAAAAAUGCAAUCCUUGACAAGAUCAAAGUAGAAAGAGGAAUUAGAAAAAUCUGGAUUAAAAUUACAUCACUUGGUUUUAUGUAGUCAUGAAUUACAUCAGAUGAAAGAAUACAGCAGCUGAGUGUAGAAUGCAGAUGAAGCAAUCUCCCUGCAGAGGACACGCCACCGUCACUUCCAAACCCAGCAGGUGGUCACAGGAGUGACUGUAACUAUAGAACUGCGCUCAGUGAUACCCCAGAAGAUGAGCAGAACUUGAAUGUGAAGAUACUGAUUUUGCUGAAUCUGUUUGAAAAAUAUAUUCCAGAAGCAAAGAAAUACCAUUGAACAAGACAUUGGUGUUUUUGAUUGCCAAGAUGACAGUGCAGUAAUUGGAAAGCUCAAAGGAGCAGUGGAAGCCCUCCAUGCUCUGCCCUCAGUCGAGAGGGGAAUGCAAAGAUGACUACGAGGCAUGAAAGGAAGUUUGCCUACAGAGGAGCCUUCUCCCAGUGUAAAUACAUGCUUGAUAGUGCAUCAAAGAUGAGAUCUUUGUAAUUCCUACAGUAUAUUUAAUGUAUAAUUGAUAUGAAAAGGACGCUUGAUUUGUAGUUGUAAAGUUUUGUAUACUUUUCAGUCUGUUUGUUUUUAUAUUUCCCCCCUAAGGCUAAGAAUAUCUCCACAAUGGACAACGUCUUGUAAAUAAUUAAUACCUACAUGAUUGAACGACGUGCUUUAUUUGCAUUUUUAAGAUUUUUUUUCCUACAUAAAACAGUAAUAAAAAUGCAAGUCAAAAUUUUAAUUUUUAAUAAAAAAACCAUAAGCCUUAGAAAACUGAUUAAAAAUACUUUUAUGUUAUCCCUAAUCACCCCGUUAAAUGGAAUGCCUGUGAUUAGCCUCAUUAAGAAUUUUAUACUGUGAAGAUUUUAUUAAAAGCAAUAUAUGAAAAUUACUUGGAUUAAUGUGUUAAUCUGCCUCUUUAAAAUGCUAAUAUCCAUUUUAUGCACAUUAAAUCUCAGUAUGUGUUUUCUUUGAUGCAUGCAGUUCCUAUCAAUUAAAUAUAAAAAAUUAGGCUAGUUGCAGGACUUAUUAAAUUACUGCACCCUUUUUUAAAAUAACUUUUACCCUUCUACUGGCAUUAUAAUCAGCUGUUUAUGGUUACCAUAAUUUGAAGUAGGGGGAGGGCAGGCACAAUCAUUUUCUGUACAGGAGAUGAUUUACUCACAGCCAACAUCUGUCAAAGCACAAAAAGAAGCCAAAGAGUAUCAGAUUUUGCUUCACCUGCUUUGGGCUUUAGGGAUGGGCAACUGUUUUCAUUUGGGUUUUGUCACUUUUAGAACUUACAUCAAACGUAUACAAUAAAUUGUUGUAUCUGAAUAACUA